AUGAAGAGGGCAAGAGAGAUACUUGGGGAGACUUCUGUUCAGCUUCGGGAACAGAAGGCAGAUCUCAAGAUGACCUCCACCAUCGCCUGGACCUGUCUCUCCCUCACAUUCCUUGUUCAGUGCACAGGGUCCAGAGCCCAGUCUGUGCUGACUCAGCAGCCCUCACUAUCUGGGACUCCAGGACAGAGGGUCACCAUCUCCUGCACUGGGAGCAGCAACAAUAUUGGUUGGUAUAAUGUGCACUGGUACCAACAGCUCCCAGAGACAGCCCCCAAACCCCUCAUCUAUGAUAAUAGUAAUCGACCCUCAGGAGUCCCUGAUCGCUUCUCUGGCUCCAAGUCUGGCAAUUCUGCUUCACUGACCAUCACUGGGCUCCAGCCUGAGGAUGAGGCUGACUAUUACUGUGAGUCUUAUGAUGACAAUCUUGGUGCUCCCACAGUGCUCUAG